UACGUAGGGUGCGAGCGUUAAUCGGAAUUACUGGGCGUAAAGCGUGCGCAGGCGGUUUUGUAAGCCAGAUGUGAAAGCCCCGGGCUUAACCUGGGAAUGGCAUUUGGGACUGCAAGGCUUGAGUGCGGCAGAGGAGACUGGAAUUCCUGGUGUAGCAGUGAAAUGCGUAGAUAUCAGGGGGAAUACCGAUGGCGAAGGCAGGUCUCUGGGCUGACACUGACGCUCAUGCACGAAAGCGUGGGGAGCAAACAGG
rnacentral:rRNA from 1 species